rnacentral:rRNA from 1 species
UACAGAGGUCUCGAGCGUUGUUCGGAUUCAUUGGGCGUAAAGGGUGCGUAGGCGGCGAAGUAAGUCGGAUGUGAAAUCCCGAGGCUCAACCUCGGAACUGCAUUCGAUACUGCUUCGCUCGAGGACUGGAGAGGAGACUGGAAUUCACGGUGUAGCAGUGAUAUGCGUAGAUAUCGUGAGGAAGACCGGUGGCGAAGGCGGGUCUCUGGGCAACUACUGACGCUGAGGAGCGAAAGCAUGGGGAGCAAACAGG